UCGGGCGUAGACGGCACGCAACCUUGCCAAGGUUGGGGUCGAGGGUUCGAAUCCCUUCGCCCGCUCCA
rnacentral:tRNA from 1 species